AUGAACCGGAUCCCGUCCGUCUCGCUGCGGGGCGACCCGGCCGAGGCGGGCGCGGCGGCGCCCGACCCCGCGGCGCUGGCGCGGUGGGCGCGGGCCUUCUGCAUCAUCCGCUUCGACCUGGAGCGCGGGCAGCUGGUCGAGGCCUGCUUCCCGCCGGACGCGCUCGCCCACGGCGGCCUCGACCGCCUCGUCGCCUUCUCCUCCUUCCCGGACUCCAUGUCCCACCACCUCCCGCGCCACCGCUCCUCCGUCCACGACUCGCUCUUCUCCUUCCGUCUCCCGGACCCCUCCCCGCCCGCGGCGGGCUCCCGCCGCGGCUUCCUCUACGGCUUCGUCUUCAACCGCCAGCGCCAGGACGAGCGCCUCCCCCGCGGCGGCGAGCAGAAGUCCGUUGUCAUACUUUCACACGCGCCCUACUCUUCCCUCUUCCGCCUGCUGCUGCAGAUCCUUGGCCCCCUCUGCUUCGACAUAGGCCACACUGCGCUGACAAUGGUGGCGUCGCACGUUGCUGCCUGGCCGGCGCCAUCGCCAGGGUGCCCCAUGGAGCUCCCCAUUGGCAGCGCAGCGCUGCGGGUGCACCUUCCGCCCGUGGCCGACGACCCUGGGCCGCCGCCUGCGCUGUUGCCGGCGAACCCCUCGGUGCCGUACGGGCUCUUCCACGAUGCUGACCUGUUUGCUUCGUUUCGUGGCUUGCUCCUGCACCUGUGGACUCUUUGGGAACUCAUGGUUGUUGGAGAACCCAUACUGGUUGUGGCGCCAUCACCACCUCAGUGCUCCGAGGCUGUGGCUGGGCUUGUUAGCCUUGUUGCUCCAAUCUUGUAUAGUGUGGACUUCAGGCCGUACUUUACUAUUCAUGAUCCGGACUUCGCUCGCCUUAAUGCACUUGCAGAAGGUGAGGUGUUCCCACCGAUGGUGCUCGGGGUGACGAACUUGUUUUUCCUGAGGAGUCUUAAGAGUGUUCCAAAUGUGGUGUCCGUGGGAAGCCCGAAUCCAAAUUCUACUAGGGUGCUCCCAGCAGGUGGGCAAUCACCAGCAUCACCAAAUGGAUCCAAUGGGACACCUGUGAGGCUCAAACUCGACAAACUUGCAAUCAAUAAGUUUUCGCCCACUAGUCUAUUGAAUUCAAUCAAGUUGAGAAGAGAAGGCCCUCUUUCCCUCAUGACAGAGCAUAAAGAGGCGCUAUGGAGCACAUAUGUGCCAACUACAAAGCCUGACACCUCUGUUCUAAAUAGACUCAUUGAUGCCGGUGUGUCACCGAGAAUUGAGGAGUCCAUGUCAGUCGUCAACAAUGAGAUAUUGAGGCGGCAUUUCUUGGAGCUAACGACCAACUUCCUUUCGCCUUUUGGGCCAUAUCUGAGAACUACGACACCACUGGAAGGGAGUUCUCCAUUCGUUGAUCCACCAUUACUUCCACCAUUUCACGCAGAUGAGUUUGUCAAUGGUUUGGCUUCUAGAGGUCCAGGGAAAUUUUUGUCGAAAAGGAUGAAGUCCAAUUGGUUGGAUUUAUAUAGAAAAUUCUUGGAAGGUCCGAACUUCAUGCGUUGGUUCCGACAAAGACGUUCUGCUGCAGAGCAAGAUCAGCUAAGGUUAUGGAGACAAGCUCGCAUGAAUGUUGAUAUCGAGAAGUUAAUGUCAAAGAUGUCUGAGUUGGAGAGGAUUGAUUCUUUUAAUGUUAUUGAACGGUAUCUUCUCAAAGAGAUGGAGAAUUCUCGGACAGGUACUGCUGAAUCAUUGGCAGCAUGCCAGAAACUGAAGGCAGACCUUCAAGCAGCAUUCAGUGUCCUCCCAAAGGACAUGCAGCAGCUGCUGCUUUCCAACCCUAAACGAGCCGUGCUUCUUCAAGCCAGCCAAGAAAAGGUCUCAGGACUUGGGGACGUUGUCUCCCAGACAAGUUUGUAG
rnacentral:rRNA from 1 species